UGGGGGAUCGUCUAGUGGUAGGACGCCAGGUUCUGGCCCUGGUAGCGGGGGUUCGAAUCCUCCUCCCCCAGCCA
rnacentral:tRNA from 1 species